CUGUACGUCAUUUCGGGAGAUGGCGUUAGCUCAAGAAACACGGGUCGCUGGAUUUCAGGGUUUUCCUCAUCCGGUGCAAAAGCAGGGAGGCCAAGGGCUGGUUGCUCACCUGCUGGAAGGAUGCUUCCACCAAGUUGGAAGGGAACAUGUUCCUGGAAGAGAGCAACAGCAUAGAGGUUAAAACUGAAGGGAAACUGGACACGGCCCUGUGGGGCAGGAGGCUGGGAGGAGGACUGAUGUGCUGCAGUGUUCCCAGGAGUCGUGGCCCACAGCCCCCACGCUGCUCCCAGACCCCACGACGCACCUGAUCAAAUCCAGCAGCGCAUCGGCGGAGCUGAGCACCACCUUCCCUGCAGAGAAAUCCUCCUUCUGCGCGGCCGCGCCGGGGUGGAUGCUGACUACCAGGAUGAUCCCCAUCGUCACCGCCAUGAAAGUGGUCCAAAGGUAAUAGGUGAUGGUGAUCACCCCCAUCUUCCCACAGGCCCUGGGCUCCAGGGUGGCCAGCCCGGACAUCAGGCUGUGCCAGGAAACACCAAACUCAGCACCGCUCCCAAACCGCAUGGGGUCGGCGUUGGGGAUCCUGAUUGGAGCCCCCAUGUGCCGCAGUUUUAAGAGGGAAAGAAGCCCAAGUGAGCCCCAGCUCUGCUCCCCUGCCCUGAUCUCAGGGCCUGGCACCCGCACUCGGGCAGCUGCGUGCCCCGUCUCCUGGUCCUUCAGAUGCAGACAGCGAUAACUCACCUGGAGGUGAUCAGUGGCAGGAUCAGCAUCUUCAGCAUCCUCAUGAGCAGCUCUCCAGGAAAGGAGAAGUACUGCUUCUCCUGCAGGGAGCAGAGCGUUGGGAAGGGUGGAAGUGGGGAGGUGGGCACUGAUUGUGGGCGAAGGGCUCAAACUGGGCAGAUUUCCUCUUUUUCCCAGUGGGAUCCAGACAUGAGCUCGGUUCCCAGAUGCGAUAAUGUGGUUUCCCUCCCCAUCCUAGGAGACCCCCAGAGCUGCUGGGGAGAAGAAAUCCCACCCUAUGGGGAAAUCCAUCCAGGAGCUGAGGAGGGGUGUUGAGUCAGUUCCCAUCCCGACGGUCCAUCUCCCUAUGGCCCCACGGCCACACUUUGGUCGCUCCAGAUGUUGCUGCACUUUUCCCUGGGAGCAGAGUGCAGAAAUGCCCCCACCCCUCUGUGUGCCCACCUGCCCCCCUCCCCCUGGCCCCCACCAACUGCCCGUCCUUCCAUCCCUCUACCCACGCACCCAUCCUCCAUCUGUCUGCCCCUCCAUUCAUCCAUGUCCUUCCGGAGGCUCCUUCCAUCCCUCCCUUCUUCCCUCCCUCCCUUCCUCCCUUCCUCCCUCCAUCUCUCCAUCCCUCCAUCCAUCCCCUGCCCAACCUUCCCCAGUGCCAUGUGGAUUUGUCUGCCACUGCGGGGUAGGGGCAGGACCAGGGGCAGCGGGAUGCUGCCACUCUCACGGCCACGUGCAUUGGGGUGCGGUGGGAUUACACCCCGCUUCGGUUAAGUCAGAUCAUCCUCGCUGCAGGCAGUAAUGCUGCAGGGUGUAAUUGAAGUGACAAAUGCCAAAUCCCCGCAGGUUACCUUGGGGAUGUGCCAGCAGCAGCUGAGCAUCCCGCAGAUGGGGGCUGAGUUAAAACCGCUGUGAUUUUAGCAUGAUGACAUUUAACGGCCCUUUGGGAACAGGAGGGGACCCCUGGGAAUCUGCUGUGCUUUGUGCUGGGGCUCGCCUGGAUGCUGAGCAUCUGCAGCAGCAGUAGAGGAGCUGGGCUGUGGGAUACAGGCACUGCUGUGCCACGUUUGGCCCGGAGCAGUGAGCGCCCAGCGCGGGGCACAGGGCAGCAGCUGCCCUCCCCCCAACCCCCCUGCAGCGUAGCAGGGUCCCCAACAGAGGGAUGCAGGAUUUGUCCUGCCGCUCUGUGGCCAAAAGAUGAAGAAAACCCACCCGUGAGAGGCUGUUCCCUCAGACAGCAGCCUGCGCAUUCAGGGCUGAGCCCUUCCGUGCUCCCUUUGCUCCCAGCCCAUCCUUACCAGCUCCGUCAGCUCCAGCGCCCGCAGCAGGAAGCCCAGCAGGCAGCCGGUGGCCACCGACAGCAUGGACAGGGUGAGGAGGCCGUUCUUGUGCCAGAAGGCCCGAAGCUGCGCCCAGAGGCGCGCGGAGCCCCCGGACAGCGAGCCCAGCAGCGCCGUGCAGACGCGCUCCCACAUGGCCCCGCUCAGCAGCAGCUCCUCGCCCCGCACAUCGCAGCGCUGGCUGUGCCAGCCGUAAUCCCGGCCCCAGAGCUGCCCUGGGAGCCCUUCCCGUAAUGGAAAGUGACGUCCUGCAGCGGUUAAUCUGGGCUUGGCUUUCUGUGGGUGAGUGCAGUGGGGUUUUUAACCCUUCCUGUGGGGCCGCACGCGCCAGGAACGCAGAUGGAGCCCCGUUCCCAGCACAGUCCCCGAUCCAGAAGAAUUCAGAUCUGUUUCCAGAUGUGGAGGCAGCAUUUGGGCGCUGAGCACAACCCCAUCCCACCCCACAUCUGCACUGGUGGAAGUGCUUCGUUGGGGCAAAACCCCCCCC